rnacentral:rRNA from 1 species
GACGAACGCUGGCGGCGUGCUUAACACAUGCAAGUCGAACGGAAAGGCCCUGCUUUUGUGGGGUGCUCGAGUGGCGCACGGGUGAGUAACACGUGAGUAACUUGCCCUUGACUUUGGGAUAACUUCAGGAAACUGGGGCUAAUACCGGAUAGGAGCUCCUGCUGCAUGGUGUGGGUUGGAAAGUUUCGGCGGUUGGGGAUGGACUCGCGGCUUAUCAGCUUGUUGGUGGGGUAGUGGCUUACCAAGGCUUUGACGGGUAGCCGGCCUGAGAGGGUGACCGGCCACAUUGGGACUGAGAUACGGACCAGACUGCUACGGGAGGCAGUAGUGGGGAAUAUUGCACAAUGGGGGGAAGCCUGAUGCAGCAACGCCGCGUGCGGGAUGACGGCCUUCGGGUUGUAAACCGCUUUCGCCUGUGACGAAGCGUGAGUGACGGUAAUGGGUAAAGAAGCACCGGCUAACUACGUG